rnacentral:rRNA from 1 species
UAGCGAAGAGGUCACACCCGUUCCCAUGCCGAACACGGAAGUUAAGCUCUUCAGCGCCGAUGGUAGUUGGGGGCUUCCCCCUGUGAGAGUAGGAAGCCGCCAAGC